AUUGAACGCUGGCGGCAUGCCUUACACAUGCAAGUCGAACGGUAACAGGUUAAGCUGACGAGUGGCGAACGGGUGAGUAAUGUAUCGGAACGUGCCCAGUCGUGGGGGAUAACUGCUCGAAAGAGCAGCUAAUACCGCAUACGACCUGAGGGUGAAAGCGGGGGAUCGCAAGACCUCGCGCGAUUGGAGCGGCCGAUAUCAGAUUAGGUAGCUGGUGAGGUAAAGGCUCACCAAGCCGACGAUCUGUAGCUGGUCUGAGAGGACGACCAGCCACACUGGGACUGAGACACGGCCAGACUCCUACGGGAGGCAGCAGUGGGGAAUUUUGGACAAUGGGCGCAAGCCUGAUCCAGCCAUGCCGCGUGCGGGAAGAAGGCCUUCGGGUUGUAAACCGCUUUUGUCAGGGAAGAAAAGGUUCUGGCUAAUACCUGGGACUCAUGACGGUACCUGAAGAAUAAGCACCGGCUAACUACGUG
rnacentral:rRNA from 1 species